rnacentral:lncRNA from 1 species
GUCGUCGUUAGGUAAACUCCGGGGCUGCCGGCCUUCAGUCAAGGUGAGAUCGAUGAUGCCAUCACAAAGCCCGAAAUAAUUGCAUAUUUCGGAGAUCAAACCCAAGAUCUCUAUGAACGAAUUCAGAUACUAUAAUCACUCAACUAUAACCUAUUAGCGACUUACAUAGAUAAUUCAUGGCAUCCGCUACUCUACUAUAUGUUCUCAUCGAUGGGUAGCUUCCUAAUUGAGGACAAAACUAAGACAAUGUAGCGAGCUGGUAUAAGAAAAAAAACAGAGGAUCGGAUGAAAAAGAAAAGUCUAUGACUUGAAUCUGCAGAAACAAACCUGAAUAUUAUAGAAAACCAAACGAAGUAAAUCUGAGAGAAAUAGAGAGAUGGGGAAAAGGGGG